CUGCCAUUUCUCCAGUAUGUCUACACACUGAAAUAUUCACCAAUGAUAAAAGCCAUACGCUUAAAGGGGCGAUUGAACAGAAGAACGCACAAGAUACAUCGUAUGUCCUUAUUUUCCUAUUUUCUACAAAACUCGGCACACCGUUAGUAAUUGACCAAAAGUCACAUGGAUCAACUCAGCAGAGUAAAAGAAGAUGACGAUAUUCUCUUAAAUGUUCCUUGCAUUUUACCCUCAUGAGCCGAUUACGAAAUUGAGGACUCGACGAAAAGAUGGAGUUGAUCAUUUUGGCUUUGAGAGGUUCGACUAUACCUUUGGCUUCUACAAAAAAACUUCGCCACCUUGUCAAAUUCUUUUCAUCUUCGAUCAUCUUCGACCAGAGCCGUCAAAAUUUCAAUAACAGUGGGUACAUACGUCGCGAGCCAAACUGGAAGCGUCUUCAGCGUGAUGUUUCAGAACUUUGUUGGAUCUUAAGCGAUUUCUGAGGGCGUGAUGAGUGGCGAGGGCAGAUGCGAAUCGACUUUGCACCAGGAGCGUCCGCACCGCUUCGAGUUCCGCUUCCACG